rnacentral:lncRNA from 1 species
CAGUUUUACUAGAGCUAGCUAAGUGUCUUUGAUAUCGGUAACACAGUCUGCUCGUAACAUAGCUAACGUCCCCCCAAAAUGCAAAACCCAAAACCCAUGGACACAGUGCGAGAACUAAUUGCGAUUGAUUAGACAUGCCUCCUCUGUCUCUCAUCAGAACUAGAAUGGCUGAGCAAUCAAAGUUUCUGCACCGACGAUGUUCUUUCUGUCCACCAGCGAGCCACUGAGAAAGCCAAUGAGACACAACCAGCAGAAACAAGGUGUUGUGUUGUUAUCAUAAAAUUGUUAAAUCGUUAUUCAGUUACUUCCCUUUCUCUGUGACGGAAUAGUAUUUCAUGCUCCAUUGUACAGGAGACAGGAUAAGGCAUUCCACCCUCUUUGAGAAGCACUGGAGGUUGUAUCUAGUGGCUUUGAAUGUUAUAGAACAGUCUUGUUGUUAUUACACAAUUAUAAGAAGUUGACCUCAAAAUAUCUCAUACUUUUGUGGGAUGAUAUGAUCUGAGCAUUGACCGUUGUUGAGAGUUUCACCCAAAAGUCAACGGCUUAUGGUAUUUGUACUUAAAUGUUUACUUCUAACAUUUCUGGACAGACAACCGAUAGGGAGGAUAAGAAUGACGUCCCAUCCAAGAAGAAUAAAAGAAGGAGAAGAACAAUUAAUAAGCGGAAUCACAAGAAGAAGAGUGGAGAACUCUCUACAGCAAGCAGUGGCUCAUAUUCAAAUACUAUCUACCCCAGUGAUCUCCUGAAAAAUGCUGAGAGUACUCCUCACACGUAUGACCUCACUCCCUUUGUUCCCAGUGAGACCCAGUCACUCAGGUCUACAUGCUCUGUGAGGAGGUGCAGUGUCAGCUGGAGGGGUCUUUUGUGUGGCUGGACGACCUCUAGACCCUCACCGAUUGGCCCUUCUGCGUGGACAGAAGAGCAGACCUCUCCAACUGGGAGUAUAAAUUGCUCUACAGAGAAGACAUCGCUAGGCAGCCAUCUUCCUCCAGCAUUGUCAUUUCCUCAGGCAUGCAGGCCACUCAGAAAAGGCUGUGCCAAUGUUCCAGUGCCUGCUGGACUUCAUCUUCUUCAAGCCAGACACUGUCAAGGACCUAUCCACCAGACAACAGGCCUUCCCCGUCAACACCACCUCAUAAGAUUGCCUGCUGCAGUUGUUCGAGAGAUGUCCAGUUUGCAGCCGAACAUGCAGCAUAGAGAAGUCCAGAAAGGAGGCCUUCAUCAGCCACAUGUUGGCAAGUAUCUGGCCAGCAACCUUCACCUGUCAGCAGCAAAAGCUUUCACAGGCUCAUCAUUUGUACAAAUAUAG